UGAGUCACCGCCCGCCCGGGGGGACGAAGAGGGGCGGGUCCGUCUGUCCCGAUGCACCGCGCCGAGGCUGCAAGGUGCAGAGCAGAGCCGUGCCUGGGCGAGCCGAGCCGAGCCGAGCCGGGGCAGCGCGCCCAGCCCUUCCCGGGCACAGGCCCUGCUUUUUCCUCAGAGGCCAAGCCAAAGCAGAGAGCUUCCCAGGAUGAAGGUCCUUCUUCUGCUCCUCUCCCUGUUCCAAGGGGUGGGAGCAUGUGGCCACCGGGAAGAGGACUUCCGCUUCUGUGGUGACCGAAACCAGACCCAGAACAGCUCCAUCAUCUAUGAGCAUGGCCCUGCUGGCAUUUCCAUCGAGAACACAGCCCAGGCACUGAUCAUAAGGAAGCCCUUUUUGCCAAGCAGGAGAAACUCCUCCUACAAGUACAGCUUGCCCCCCACGCUGGGCAGGUACCGCUUCUGCAUCUGCUGGUUCAGGGCCAACAGAACCCUGUGGCUGGUGUACGGGAAGCAGAGCUUUCUCCUGGACCGAGAACCGGCCAGCAGCAGUGCCCAGGGGAAGCAGGGUCAGGAGACUGCAGGAGCCAGCAUGUCCAUCUUCAACGUGUCGUACAUCUCGAAGGGCGGGAAGAACACCUCCCUUGGCAGUACCUCUGAGUACUUCUUCCCUGCCUCACCAGAGGACAUGCCCAUUUGGGAGCAGGAUGUGGAGGAGCAACUUACUGCCUUGGACAGGCUCAUUGGACAGCCUGCAGAGCCAGACGCAGGAGCCAUGGAGCAGCGGGUGAUUCGUGGCAAACUUGGGGAGCUGGAGAAGAUGCUGGCCAAAGUGGAGAUUGAAGGGCAGAAUCAGACCUUUGGAAAGGCCACUGUGCGUGCAACUGUCCUGAUUGUCCAGCCCACUCGGGCUCCUCAGAACCUGGUUUUUGCUUCCCAAAGAAAGGAGGACAGAGAGGUCCAUGGGAUCGUGGUGGACCUGCCGAGCAGCCUGUUCAUGAUGGCAAAGGAGAGGGAGGAGGUUGUAGAGCACAGGGUGCUCCUGAUGGACAUCAGCAGCCAAACCAUGUUCCAGGAUGAAAACAGCAGCCACGUCCUGGGUGACAAGGUGGUCGGCAUCUCCCUGGUGGACACAGUGGUGGCCAACCUCUCUGACCCAGUGGUCCUCACUUUCUUCCAUGGCCAGCUGCCAAGGAACAUGACCCCACUGUGCGUAUUCUGGCAGGAGGACACCACUGCCAACUCUGGGAGCUGGGACAGCUUUGGUUGUACAACAGAGACAGGGGGCAGCUGGACAGAGUGCAGAUGCAACCACCUCACCUACUUUGCCAUGCUGAUGGUUUCCUCCCUGGAGAUCACCUACAUACACAGGGAUUAUCUGAGUAUCAUAACCUAUGUUGGCUGCCUGAUCUCAGCUUUGGCAUCUGUUUGCACCAUCUUAUUCCUGUACUUCAGGAGCAAGCAGCGAGACCAGAUCACGAGCAUGCACAUCCACAUGAACUUGCUGGGUGCCAUCUUCCUCCUGGAUGUCACCUUCCUCAUCUCUGAGGAGUUGGCUUCCAGCAGCAGCGAGGCUGUCUGCAGAGCUGGUGGGCUCUUCCUCCACUUCUCCCUCCUGAGCUGCCUCACCUGGAUGGGCAUUGAGGGCUACAACCUCUACCGGCUUGUGAUCGAAGUCUUCAGCACCUACCAUGACCACUUCCUCCUCAAGAUCUGCCUGGUGGGCUGGGGGAGAAAGUGGGAACAAGUCCUUCCAGGAGCUCCGAGGGCCGGGGACGAGGGCGGCCACUUCAUUGUGUUCUUGCCACCCAGGACUCCCAUUUUUCUGUGUGAUGCUGAUCUUCCUGGCCAGCUGGAGAAACUACGGCCCCUUCUCCAUUCCCAUCUAUGAAUCCAUUGGUGGCAAAUCCACCAACACAACCAUAUGCUGGAUUACGAGCCCCCUGAUCCAUAAUGUUGUGAACCUGGGUUUCUUCAGCCUGGUGUUUCUCUUUAACUCGGUCAUGCUGGGGGCCAUGGUCCGGGAGAUCAUCCGGCAGAACAACAAAGGCCACAAGCUCAAGCAUGUUCUUGCCCUCUUUGGGCUGAGCAUCCUGCUGGGCAUUCCCUGGGCACUGGUCUUCUUCUCCUUCACCUCUGGUGUCUUCAGCCUCAUCUCCCUCUACCUCUUCACCAUCAUCAACUCCCUCCAAGGCUUCCUUAUCUUUCUCUGGUACUGGACCAUGGUGCUGCAGGCAAGGAAGUCCUCUGAUUUGUAGAGCAGCUCCAACAGCAUCAAACUGCAGCCCAAGAGCAGGCACAGCCCCACUAUGGCUGUGCCCAGCCAAAAACAGCCACAGGAAGGACCAACGCCAUUCGCUUUAUUAUAGCACCCGCCUCAGGGGCUGCUGGAGCCCGGGGUCCCCUUAUCUCUGCCAGCCCGCUCACCAACUUUCCCUUGGUAUCCCUUGGCUUGGCAUCCCUGGGGCAAGAGGGAGGGAUGCUCGCUCAGGCAGUGGGAGUUGCAGGAGGUAGAAGGGGCAGAGACAGGGUCCCUGAUGCCUCUGGAUGUCCCCUCCCGUGCACUGAGGCCAGGGAUGGGCCUUUUCCCUGGUGGAAAAGGCCCCAUCUUCAGCUCUUGCUGGUGGUUACCAAGAAGGUCCAUCCCCAGUGAAGACAGAGUAGCUCUGCCCCCGGCCCUCUCCAGCAGCUGAAAUGGUCUAUUUUUGUUAAUUUGUUGAAUGCCUAUUUUUGGAUGGUGCAGAAGUUCAGCGGGUGCACCUGCACACCAGACUUGUGCCCAUUAAAGUUGUUCCUGCUUGGA